rnacentral:rRNA from 1 species
AUACGUAGGGUGCAAGCGUUAAUCGGGAUUACUGGGCGUAAAGCGUGCGCAGGCGGUUUUGGAAGACAGUGGUGAAAUCCCCGGGCUCAACCUGGGAACUGCCAUUGUGACUGCAAGGCUGGAGGGCGGCCGAGGGGGAUGGAAUUCCGCGUGGAGCAGUGAAAUGCGUAGAUAUGCGGAGGAACACCGAUGGCGAAGGCAAUCCCCUGGGCCUGCACUGACGCUCAUGCACGAAAGCGUGGGGAGCAAACAGGAUUAGAUACCCUGGUAGUCCACGCCCUAAACGAUGUCAACUGGUUGUUGGGGAUUUAUUUUCUCAGUAACGAAGCUAACGCGUGAAGUUGACCGCCUGGGGAGUACGGCCGCAAGGUUAAAACUUAAAGGAAUUGACGGGG